rfam:Agrilus planipennis Contig59375, whole genome shotgun sequence.
AAAUGUCCUUGAAUUCGAGACUAAUAAAGGUGCGUGCCGGAUGCGACCUGUCGGCUGAAGAGGACCCUAGUUGGUCCUAAAACGGCCUGAGGUAGAGGGGUUUUAGUCGGUAGGUCCGAGGACUUCUUCCUCGGGAAUCCGACACUACCCAGUCGUACGGACGGCUGGGUGUCUUCUGAAGAUUUCCCCUCUUCCACGAAA